rnacentral:misc_RNA from 1 species
CAACUCGGAGGAAGGUGGGGAUGACGUCAAGUCAGCAUGCCCCUUACGUCCUGGGCUACACACGUACUACAAUGGUUGGGACAAAGGGCAGCAAGCUCGCGAGAGUAAGCGAAUCUCAUCAAACCCAGCCACAGUUCAGAUUGCAGGCUGCAACUCGCCUGCAUGAAGUAGGAAUCGCUAGUAAUCGCAGGUCAGCAUACUGCGGUGAAUUCGUUCCCGGGCCUUGUACACACCGCCCGUCGCACCAUGGAAGCUGGCUACGCCCGAAGUCGUUACCCUAACCCGGUUUUGGGAGGGGGAUGCCGAAGGUAGAGCUAGUGACUGGGGUGAAGUCGUAACAAGGUAGCCGUACCGGAAGGUGUGGCUGGAUCACCUCCUUUACAGGGAGACCUAGUCUAAUUACCAAUAGAUGAAAAAGUUGGUAAUUCGCAAGAAUCCUUAGGUCGUGAAGGGAGCAAGAAAAAACUUUCAAACUGUAAUGGGUGAGGGUCAAUGGGCUAUUAGCUCAGGUGGUUAGGGCGCACCCCUGAUAAGGGUGAGGUCCCUGGUUCAAGUCCAGGAUGGCCCACCUAAAAUACACAGGCAUCCUGCCUGUGCCACAAAAAAAGGAAAAAGUUUUGGCAUUGUCUCUUGUAAUCAAGAGCAAGAGAUAAUGCUGGAAUAGAUUCCAGCAAGAACCUUGAAAACUGCAUAGAACUAGAAAGAAAAAGUCAGGUAAAAAAUCCUACAAGCUAGAGCUAGAAAGAGCAAAAGGU